rfam:Gongylonema pulchrum genome assembly, scaffold: GPTH_scaffold0006725
GCCUCCCUAGCUCAGUCGGUAGAGCAUCAGACUUUUAAUCUGAGGGUCGUGGGUUCGAGUCCCACGGGGGGCG